rnacentral:rRNA from 1 species
CCAAUAGCGUAUAUUAAAGUUGUUGCAGUUAAAAAGCUCGUAGUUGAAUUUUAGUCCUGGCCGGGCGGUCCGUCUUUGGCGAGUACUGUCCUGUGUCGGGUCUUCCUUCUGGUGAACCGGUAUGUCCUUUAUUGGGUGUGCCGGGGAGCCAGGACCAUUACCUUGAAAAAAUUAGAGUGUUUAAAGCGGGCAUUUGCUUGAAUAGAUUAGCAUGGAAUAAUAGAAUAGGACGUUGUGGUUCUAUUUUGUUGGUUUCUAGGACCACCGUAAUGAUUAAUAGGGAUAGUUGGGGGCAUUAGUAUUCAAUUGUCAGAGGUGAAAUUCUUGGAUUUAUUGAAGACUAACUACUGCGAAAGCAUUUGCCAAGGAUGUUUUCAUUAAUCAAGAACGAAAGUUAGGGGAUCGAAGACGAUCAGAUACCGUCGUAGUCUUAACCAUAAACUAUGCCGACUAGGAAUCGGGCGACGUUAUUUUCAUGACUCGCUCGGCGCCUUAUG